CCCUGCACUAACAUUUGUGUUACAUGAAAAACCGAAUCUGCAAGUUUGAAAAUUCAUCAAAUCUCAACUAAAUAACUUGAACAUUAUAGGGUCUGUGAAUCAGCAGCACUUAUUUCUACCGGUCCCUCUUAAAGGCUUUGGAUGAGUGGGCAAAUAAUUCCUAUUUAUACAGAGAUGUAAACUUUCCCAAAAGAGUCUUGAGGGGAAUGAAGGAAGUCACAUCUCUGACUAAAACUAUCUGCCUUUCUGGAAAAUCAAUGACCCAAAUCGAGAACACAUCCACUACAGACCAGAGGGGAGUUUGAUCUGCACGAUCUCGGGGAUGGAGGCCCCACCAUCUUGUCACUGUGCAGCCUAGAAAACUCAGUUUCUCAUCUGCUGCCACAAAGGAGGGAGAGGUAAGAUGCCGACCCCAUUCCCAUUUCUCCUGCUAUGUCCACCAAAGAACGGAUACGCUCAUUCUUCUGUCCACGUGGCCAAAACCAGUCACGUGGCCUCAGGCUUAGCAGCCAGAGACACUGGAAAUAAGUCCUGAGGGUAUGGAGUGAGGACUGACUAUGUCUCUCUCGGUGUCUCAGAGCAAAAACUGAUGAUGGCCAUGUCUGCUGAUGAUGUUUUGUCUGCAGGAGAUCACAGCUACCACUGUCGUUUUACAUUAACUUUGU